AUUGCUUCUCGGACUUUUGGCUAAGAUCAAGGGUAGUAUCUGUUCUUAUCAGUUUAAUAUCGGAUACGUUCUCUAAGUCUCCAUUUUGAUUAUAAGAUGUAAUUAAGUUCAAGUUUUCAGGUCCUAUGUGGUCGAGAGCACGAUUCAAUUCAGAAGUUCAAUAUUUGAUGCUUAGAAUAAAACAAU